GCUCCGGUGGCCUAAUGGUUAGAGCAUCCUCCUCAAAUGUUGGAGGUCGUGGGUUCGAUCCCCAGCCAAGUCA